rnacentral:rRNA from 1 species
UGCCAGCAGCCGCGGUAAGACGAACCGCCCAAACGUUAUUCGGAAUCACUGGGCUUAAAGGGUGCGUAGGCGGUGCGGAAAGUUGGGUGUGAAAUCCCUCGGCUCAACCGAGGAACUGCGCCCAAUACUACCGCGCUAGAGGGAGGCAGGGGUGAGCGGAACUGAUGGUGGAGCGGUGAAAUGCGUUGAUAUCAUCAGGAACACCGGUGGCGAAAGCGGCUCACUGGGUCUCUUCUGACGCUGAGGCACGAAAGCUAGGGUAGCGAACGGGAUUAGAUA